CCCCAUCAGCUUAUCGUGUCCAUCCACAGAAUGAACCGAGUUUGGCCCUUUGCUUGAAAAACAUUCUUUAGGCUUCUUUCUUUUAGGUCCAACAGCGCGAGUUUCAAGGUCCUCUGGAUCGAGCUCGUACAUUACGGCUUGAACGAGAUCUCUUGGAAUAUUCAAACCAUGUUCUUGCCUGACCUUCUUGUGCAUCGCACGAUAACCGAGAAGUUUACCGGGACCACGAAGUUCUUCUGACACAGCGACACGCACCUCAUCGACAGAUACAUUUGUAUCGGUGUAUUUAAUGUUGAAAUGGCGAAGGCGUCGACUAGGGUGGUAUACUCCACGCAUAUUGAGGAAAGUCGCGCUUUAAAAAAUCCAGCAUUUCCCGUCGCUUAAUACCUUGUUUAACAAAGGUUUUCAUGUCUUCUUCAAGCUGAUAAUCGCUUUGCCAAGCAUCAUUUCCAUAAACAUGUGAGCCAGUUGCCAUUUUUGUUUAUAUUAGACUAAAUAUAUAACCCCCGCAAAGCAAGACAAACAACGAAUCAACGCGCGCAAUGCAUUAUGGUAUACUGUGAUAGCGAUAGGCCGAUAAAAUUUCAUUUUAAUUUCAUUUUAAUUUUAAAAUGCAUUCAAAAACUUUUCAUUUUUACUUCUAUUUUUUUAUUUUUUUAGUAAA